rnacentral:rRNA from 1 species
ACUCCUACGGGAGGCAGCAGUGGGGAAUAUUGGACAAUGGGGAACCCUGAUCCAGCCAUGCCGCGUGUGUGAAGAAGGCCUUCGGGUUGUAAAGCACUUUCAGUGGGGAGGAAAGGUUGUUGGUUAAUACCUAACAGCUGUGACGUUACCCACAGAAGAAGCACCGGCUAACUCCGUGCCAGCAGCCGCGGUAAUACGGAGGGUGCAAGCGUUAAUCGGAAUUACUGGGCGUAAAGCGUGCGCAGGCGGUCUGUUAAGCGAGAUGUGAAAGCCCCGGGCUCAACCUGGGAACUGCAUUUCGAA